AAGAGUUCUGGUUUUAAAAAUGGCGCACAAUGUGCGCCAUUUUUUUUGCCUGGAACCAACCUCUUCCUGUUAACAGCCACUUACUUUUUAAAACCCAUGUAAACACGCCAGAA
rfam:Erwinia amylovora ATCC 49946 chromosomal sequence.